rnacentral:lncRNA from 1 species
GCUGAUGAGCAUUUUAUUUUUUAUUAUUCAGGCCGUGUCCCUAACAACAAAGCAGCUUUUGAAUCGCGCGGAUUACACGUUUAAAAAAUAAAUAAUGACGAGCCAGUCAUCUGAACUGUCCUUCUGUACCAAAUAUAAGACUUGGUAUCACCCAUGAAAUCGGUGUCCUGCGGAAAAGUCUGAUGAAUGAGCAAUCCUUAUGUGUCAGGGGAGAAGAGUGGCAGUCACAAUGUCAGGACCUCAGUGGCAGGAUGCACCUCAGCACAGCAGGUUUUGGGGAAAGAAGAGGACACGUGGAACAAUUACGAUGAGAAAGGAGCAAGCUGCAGAUGGAGAAGAUACACGUAGCAGUCUAUCAGCCAAGCCUGCAAAGCCACUGCAAGGGAGCAAAGGAGCUACAGCCUGGGGAGAAAAAGAGGAUCAGGUCUGCAGCUUUCCUUCCUGCUGAGUUACAAACUCACUCCUGCUUUAUUCCUCCACUUGGCACUUCCCUGCCUUGGCUCAGAGCACGUAGGCUUCAUCCUCUUGAUGAUCAGCUGAGGAGCAGAUGGAGGAUCAGAGGAGCAGGAUGGCUGCUUUAUGAGGUGUACCCAUGGCAGCAUUCGUGGAAACAACCAACAAGUGACCACGAGCCAGGAUUUCAAAUGCUGCAAUACCCGAAGUUGGAAUGUAGGGGAAGUCAUAGUCAAAGUCAUAGAACCCAGGGAUCCUGCAGUUUUAAAUUUUUCUCAGCUUUCGUUUAAAGCAAAGUGUCUAAUGUUCAUGUUCUCAAACAAAAGCUUGGAAAUGGGAAGCCUUGAACAUCAAAGAAAAUAAAAGAAUCCAAAACUGAUGAUUUUUUUUAUUU